UGCGACACUAGCUCACCUGGAUAGAGCAUCAGCCUUCUAAGCUGAGGGUAGUGGGUUCGAGUCCCGCGUGUCGCGUC
rnacentral:tRNA from 1 species